rnacentral:rRNA from 1 species
AGUGAACGCUGGCGGUAGGCCUAACACAUGCAAGUCGAACGGCAGCACAGUAAGCGCUUGCUCUUACGGGUGGCGAGUGGCGGACGGGUGAGGAAUACAUCGGAAUCUACUUUUUCGUGGGGGAUAACGUAGGGAAACUUACGCUAAUACCGCAUACGACCUACGGGUGAAAGCAGGGGAUCUUCGGACCUUGCGCGAUUCAAUGAGCCGAUGUCGGAUUAGCUAGUUGGCGGGGUAAAGGCCCACCAAGGCGACGAUCCGUAGCUGGUCUGAGAGGAUGAUCAGCCACACUGGAACUGAGACACGGUCCAGACUCCUACGGGAGGCAGCAGUGGGGAAUAUUGGACAAUGGGCGCAAGCCUGAUCCAGCCAUACCGCGUGGGUGAAGAAGGCCUUCGGGUUGUAAAGCCCUUUUGUUGGGAAAGAAAAGCAGCAGGUUAAUACCCCGCUGUUCUGACGGUACCCAAAGAAUAAGCACCGGCUAACUUCGUG